UGGUGGAGUGAUUUGUCUGGUUAAUUCCGUUAACGAACGAGACCUUGACCUACUAAAUAACAUGAAUUUACGCCGUAAACGUUGUGUUUCUUAGGGGGACUUUGUACAUAUAGUGCAAGGAAGUACGAGACAAUAACA
rnacentral:rRNA from 1 species